AGCAGCCGCGGUAAUUCCAGCUCCAAUAGCGUAUAUUAAAGUUGUUGCAGUUAAAAAGCUCGUAGUUGAAUUUCGGGAUCAAUAUAUCGGUCGUGCCUUGGUACGUACUGGUAUCAUUGGUUUCUCCUUUCUGACGAACCAUGAUGUCAUUAAUUUGGUGUUAUGGGAAGUUAGGACUGUUACUUUGAAAAAAUUAGAGUGUUUAAAGCAGGCUUUGGCUUGAAUACAUUAGCAUGGAAUAAUGAAAUAGGACGUUCGAACCUAUUUUGUUGGUUUCUAGGAUCAACGUAAUGAUUAAUAGGGAUAGUUGGGGGCAUUAGUAUUCAAUUGUCAGAGGUGAAAUUCUUGGAUUUAUUGAAGACUAACUACUGCGAAAGCAUUUGCCAAGGAUGUUUUCAUUAAUCAAGAACGAAAGUUAGGGGAUCGAAGACGAUCAGAUACCGUCGUAGUCUUAACCAUAAACUAUGCCGACUAGGGAUCGGAUGAUGUUAAUUUUUUAAUGACUCAUUCGGCGCCUUACG
rnacentral:rRNA from 1 species